CUCUCUUAUGGGAGUAAGUACAGAAGAGGCUUUUAGAAGGUCGCACGUAUUCAGUAGGAAAAUUCAGGGACCAGAGGGCUGACAGCCAACCUCACAGGACCUGUUGUGACUUCCUGCUGGUGGGAGGACUCACCUGCACCAGGCCAGGCAGUCAACAAAACGGAGGCUUACCUCGCCUAAGGCUGGAGCUGGACAGGGUCUGCAUGCUGGUGAGGAAAGUGCGAUCUGCGUGUGGUGAGAAUUGAUUCAUCUUUGUGCCGGCUCCAUGCCCACACUUGCCCGGCUGAAUGUGGCUGAAGAAUAAUAAAUGCACCUGAGAUGAAUUCUCCCUUACCUUUCCAGGUGGCUCAGUGGUAAAGAAUCUGUCUGCCAAUGCAGGAGAUGUGGGUUCAGUCCCUGGGUGGGGAAGCUCCCUUGGAGAAGAAAAUGGCAACCCACUCCAGUGUUCUUGCCUGGGAAAUCCAAUGGACAGAGAGCCUGGUGGGCUAUUGUCCAUGGAGCUGCAGAGUGGGACACAGCUGAGCACACGCACACAGACCACCACCAUCCUGGAUUCCCAGAGUCCUCUCACUCUCUCCCUCCCCCACCUCAAACUCCCACCCUCUUCCUCCAUUCUCACCCUGGUGGAUCAUAUCCCUUUGGGUCUCUCUCAGGAGCAGGAUGCCAUCGGAGGAGGGUGUCCACCUCUCACGCGGACCACCUACAAGCAUCUCCAUAUCCUCCCGUCAAGAUCAGCCAAGCCGCUUCCCCUCCAGCACGUGUGUCUUAGACCCCUCGCCCCAGUUGGUCCAGGGACUUGCUCUAGGAAUGCUUCCUCUUUCUUCUCAUUAAUUAAUCUUCCCUAUCUAUAUGUA
ensembl:lncRNA